rnacentral:rRNA from 1 species
GAUGAACGCUGGCGGCGUGCCUAAUACAUGCAAGUCGAGCGAACAGACGAGGAGCUUGCUCCUCUGACGUUAGCGGCGGACGGGUGAGUAACACGUGGAUGACCUACCUAUAAGACUGGGAUAACUUCGGGAAACCGGAGCUAAUACCGGAUAAUAUAUUGAACCGCAUGGUUCAAUAGUGAAAGACGGUUUUGCUGUCACUUAUAGAUGGAUCCGCGCCGCAUUAGCUAGUUGGGAAGGUAACGGCUUACCAAGGCAACGAUGCGUAGCCGACCUGAGGGGGUGGUCCGCCACACUGGAACUGCGGCACGGUCCACACUCCUACGGGAGGCAGCAGUAGGGAAUCUUCCGCGAUGGGGGAAAGCCUGACGGGGGAACGGCGCGUGAGUGAUGAAGGUCUUCGGAUCGUAAAACUCUGUUAUUAGGGAAGAACAAAAGUGUAAGUAACUGUGCACGUCUUGACGGUACCUAAUCAAAAAGCCACGGCUAACUACGUG